rnacentral:rRNA from 1 species
AGGACGAACGCUGGCGGCGUGCCUCAUACAUGCAAGUGGAGCGACGAACCAGGCUUCGGCCUGGGGCAAAGCCGCGAACGGGUGAGUAACACGUGGGUUACCUGCCCCGAUGAUUGGGACAACCCGAGGAAACUCGGGCUAAUACCAAAUGUGCUCCUGGCCGUGAUGGCCAGGUGGAAAGGAAGCUUCGGCCUCCGCAUCGGGAUGGGCCCGCGGCCCAUUAGCUAGUUGGUGGGGUAAUGGCCUACCAAGGCGACGAUGGGUAGCUGGUCUGAGAGGACGAUCAGCCACACUGGGACUGAGACACGGCCCAGACUCCUACGGGAGGCAGCAGUAGGGAAUCUUGCGCAAUGCGCGAAAGCGUGACGCAGCAACGCCGCGUGGGGAAGAGGUUUUCGGAUUGUAAAGUCCUUUCGGCGGGGACGAUGAUGACGGUACCCGCAGAAGAAGCCCGGCUAACUUCGUGCCAGCAGCCGC